rnacentral:misc_RNA from 1 species
GAAGUAAAGGUUGUAUCAAGGUUUCUGUAGGUGAACCUGCGGAAGGAUCAUUACCGGUUGCUGACCCUCCUCCUACUUCCUUGGGACCCCCCAGGUUGCAUGGGGCGGCGUUACGCUUCAAACCCAAAUGUCUAUUCUAAACAACCUUUUAAACUCCAGAUCAUAUUGGAAUUAUUUAAAAUUAAAAACAAAACUUUCAACAACGGAUCUCUUGGGACACCAGUCGAUGAAGAACGCAGCGAAACGCGAUAGGUAAUGUGAAUUGCAGAAUUCAGUGAAUCAUCGAAUCUUUGAACGCACAUUGCGCCCAUUGGUAUUCCGAUGGGCAUGCCUGUUCGAGCGUCAUUACAGACCAUCAAGGGACCCCCUUUUGGAAACAAAACGGGGGAUCCUCUUGGCUUUAGAUGUCCUCGUCCCCCCUACAAAUCUUUGGAAAGGGGGGACGCAUCUGAAUAAGAGAUGGCAGUAAUAGAAAAGCCUCAAGCGCAUCGGAAAACCCUCGCUUGUCAGGUAAUCUAAUUACUUAGCUUAUAAAGCCCCCCUUUACUCUAAAGGUUGACCUCGGAUCAGGUAGGAAUACCCGCUGAACUUAAGCAUAUCAAUAAGCGGAGGAAAAGAAACCA